GACGUAGGGCGCAAGCGUUGUCCGGAUUUAUUGGGCGUAAAGAGCUCGUAGGCGGCUUGUCGCGUCGACUGUGAAAACCCGUGGCUCAACCAUGUGGUCUGCAGUCGAUACGGGCAGGCUAGAAUUCGGUAGGGGAGACUGGAAUUCCUGGUGUAGCGGUGAAAUGCGUAGAGAUCUGGAGGAACACCGAUGGCGAAGGCAGCCUUCUGGGCCAACACUGACGCUCAUGCACGAAAGCGUGGGGAGCAAACAGG
rnacentral:rRNA from 1 species